UACGUAGGAUGCAAGCGUUGUCCGGAAUUAUUGGGCGUAAAGGGCGCGUAGGCGGUUUCUUAAGUUUGGAGUGACAGUGGGUGGCUUAACUACCCAAGGCCUCUGAAAACUGGGGAACUUGAGGACCAGAGAGGGACAUAGAAUUCCGGGUGGAGUGGUGAAAUGCGUAGAUAUCCGGAGGAAUACCAAAGGCGAAGGCAGUGUCCUGGAGGGUGACUGACGCUGAGGCGCGAAAGCUAGGGGAGCGAACAGG
rnacentral:rRNA from 1 species